UUUAAUUUAAAAAAAGCAAGGAAAACAAGCACUUUAAAUUUGGCACAUGGAGAAUAAGCACUUUUAAUCUCGAGACACGUAUAAUUAAAUGAACGAGGCACCCAUCUUGCACGACCGAACAUAAAAUAAAAAAGUAAAAAACACGUUGAUCGUAAAAAAAAACCGGCGAAUAGGUUUCAAAAAUAUUACCCUAUUAAUAGAACAUCACGUUUUAUUUCAUCAGUCAUUUUGAAAUCUUCAGAAAAGAUUUCAGGGUAAGGAGGCAUAGUAGACGCACUUAUUGUAUUCUGAAACCCCGAGGACUCAGC
rnacentral:lncRNA from 1 species